CCUACGGGUGGCAGCAGUGAGGAAUAUUGGUCAAUGGGCGCGAGCCUGAACCAGCCAAGUCGCGUGAAGGAUGACUGAUCUAUGGGUUGUAAACUUCUUUUAUAAAGGAAUAAAGGUAGCCACGUGUGGCUUUUUGCAUGUACUUUAUGAAUAAGCAUCGGCUAACUCCGUGCCAGCAGCCGCGGUAAUACGGAGGAUCCGAGCGUUAUCCGGAUUUAUUGGGUUUAAAGGGUGCGUAGGUGGUUUUUUAAGUCAGUUGUGAAAGUUUGCGGCUCAACCGUAAAAUUGCAGUUGAUACUGGCAGCCUUGAGUACAGUUGAGGUAGGCGGAAUUCGUGGUGUAGCGGUGAAAUGCAUAGAUAUCACGAAGAACUCCGAUUGCGAAGGCAGCUUACUAAGC
rnacentral:rRNA from 1 species